GGUUAUGGCUCAGCGGUAGAGUGCCCGCCUUGCACGUGCAAGGCCCUGAGUUCGAUCCUCAGCACCA
rnacentral:tRNA from 1 species